CUCUCUCUCUCUCUCUCUCUCUCUCUCUCUCUCUCUCUCUGCGUGUAUGAGGGAUUGUCAUUGCGACCACAUCACUCACUAUACAUUGGUGGUGGGUGUUGAUGAAUCAAUUGUAACGCCGGCGGCGUUGGGUGGGUGGGGGUGUGGCACCUACCCACACCCCCUCCCUUCUUCCCACCCUCCCUAAACCACUCGUACGUAUCGAUUUUCCCGUUAGACAAUCCAGUGGUCUACCAUGGCAUCCGCCUUCUCUCCCACUGUAUGAUAGCCACUCAGAGUCCUGUCGAAUAAGACUGAGCAUGAAAAAUUCAUCCGGCUGUGGCUCUUGCUUUUGGCUCCAGUAUCGGUGUGCGCGCGCCACUACGACGGCGACGCAACUUGCGAAGACCAGUACUGUUCUUUGUAACCUUUGGAUAAUUCGCAUUGGACCAGAGGCAGUCAGUCAGUCAGUCGUUUCUGAACUAUUCACUGGCCGCUGCGUGAGACACAUACAACGUGAGCAGCCAUGAGAUGUGAUCCCCACAGCACGCACUCCCCCACCACCUCGUUUAUGGCGGUACUUCUUCACUCUUGGACGUGAACUUACUUAUUCGCCAUUAUCCGGAGCCGUCGCGUGUGGAACUGAUCAGUGACAACGCCGCCUUUCUUCUUAUUUCCUAUCUGGAGUAUUGCUGCGUGUGAAACGGGGCCGUUGUAACGUGUGGGCUUUCAGGCUCGCAUUCUUUCUUCUCUCUUGAGUGGGAGUUUUUUUGUGUUGUUGUUUUUUUUACUGUUGGGUUUUUUUUUUGUGGGUUUUUUUCCUUCUAGAUAAAUUGAUCUCCUCGGGCCUGUUGUCCCCAACCAACUAGCCGGGCAGCCAUAAAUAGCCGACCCUGCGUGUCGGCUGGGAUAAAGGAAAAUAACAUUCUCAUUUGACAGUGCGUCUGGAAAGAAAGAGAAGAAGAAAAAAUAGGCUGUUGUUGGUGAGGAAGAAAGAACAUUAAAG
rnacentral:lncRNA from 1 species